UGAAACGCGAUGAAGGAAACGAGUAGCAUGCUUUUUUUCUAAAAGAGAGCCGGUGGAUGGUGCAAACCGGUGUGAAAAACAUGUGAAUCCAUUCUGGAGCGGAGUGCUGAACUUAAUAAGAGUAGGCAUUUUCCGGCGCAGGCCGUUAAAACGAAGUUGAGAGGAAAGCAGUGUGCUUUCAAUCUGGGUGGUAACGCGGAAUAUAAACUUCCGUCCCUUUU
rnacentral:ncRNA from 1 species